UAUAAAUGUCAUCUAUUGGCAAAUAUAAUUUGCCUACAGAGGCCUGGACCAACAGUCCCUCGGUGAAUUCAUGACAAAACGCCUGAAUGUGGAAUCAGGGUAGUCGCAUGUUCAAACCAAAACUCUAUCCGCUGCUGGUCCAAGGUGCCUCUUGCUGUUGCCAAUUAGCCGGGACACCCAGAACUAACCCAGGAGCUUAUAAAGGAGGUUCACAACACAUCCGUUGAAAUGCUGGGAUUGUGACUGACUCAGUUAGGCAGGAAGAACAAGUCCUCGUGUCAAUGAGUGGAAGGAUGACACAUUUGCUGGAAAAUACAGUGUGUUGUCGUAUUCACACUAACACCACUGAGAAGUUGAUCCUGUUAUUAUUAUUCGCAGCGACAUUUCCUGGCUUAGACCUAGCGUACUGGGUAAUGCCCAUAUGUUCAGAACAGUCAAUACUGCAACGGCGAAAGGGAAAGGCUCGGGGGGUGGUGGACUACUGGAAGGGUAAAUGGGAGA
rnacentral:lncRNA from 1 species